CAGGGCCGCGCCUCCGCCGCCGAGGCGGAAAAUGGGCCAGUUUUCCCGCAGGAAGGGACUCGCCAUCUCCCCCGCAGGACCCGUCUGCCCGAUGGUGAUGCCUCUGCUCACGAUUACGGGUGUGUAACUCUAACGGGAGAAAGAAACAGAAUCACAGAAUCGAUUACGUUGGAAAAGACCUUUGAGAUCGUGGAGUCCAACCUAUGUCCGAACACCACCGUGUCACCGAGUGCCACGUGCAGUCUUUCCUUAAACACCCCCAGGGACGGUCACUCCACCACCUACCUGGGCACCCCAUUCCAAUGUUUAAUCACCCUUUCUGUGAAGAAAUUCUUCCUAAUGCCCAGCCUAAACUUCCCAUGGCACAGCUUGAGACUAUGUCCUCUCAUGUCAUGUCACUUGUUGCCUGGGAGAAGAGCUCAAUCCCCACUUGGCUACAACCUCCUUUCAGGGAGUUGUAGAGAGGGAUUAGAUCUCCAUCCAGCCUCCUCUUCUCCAGACUAAACAACCCCAGCUCCCUCAGCUGCUUCUCACAGGACUUGUGCUCCAGACCCUUCCCCAGCUCUGUUGCCCUUUUCUGGACUCAUUCCAGCACCUCAAUGCGCUUCUUGAAUUGAGAGGCACAGAACUGAACACAGCACUCAAGGUGCAGCCUCAUCAGUGCUGAGUACAGGGGGACAAUCUGGUCCCUAGUCCUGCUGGCCACACUAUUUCUGAUACAGGCCAGGAUGCCAUUGGCCUUCUUGGCCACUGGGGCACACUCCUGGCUCGUGUUCAGCCAGCUGCUGACCUGCAGCCCCAGGUCCUUCUCUACUAAACCACUUUUCCAACCACUCUCCCCCUAGCCUGUAAAGUGAAACUUUCAGGCUUGCAGAAUGUCCAGCACCGACCCUGGGGGUGAAGGACACAGCUGUGUCUUUGGUGAAGACCUGCAUCUGCAGUAGCCACCUGGUAGCCACCACUGUCUAUUCCUCCUGUGCAAGAAACAUGGAAAUCCCCUGGCAUUUUCAUCAGCCUGGCAGUGCUGGCAUGCCCAAAUAAUAGAAUCACAGAGUGGUUUGGGUUAGAAAGGACCUUAAACGUCAUCUCGUUCCAACCCCCUGCCAUGGACACCUUCCACUAGACUAGGUUGCUCAGAGCUCCAUCCAGCCUGACCUUGAACACUUCCAGGGAUGGGGCAUCCACAACUUUUCUGUGCAACUUGUUCUAGUGUCAUCUGUGAAUCUGGGAGCCCGUUAUUUCCGGGGCACGGUUUCUUGGAGCUCUAUUAGGCAGCGCUUUCCAGCCGGCCAACUGGAGUUCCCAGCAGCAUGACCUUUCCUUCUAGUGUCCUUCUGCUUUUUGCCUCUUCAUCCUCUUCCAAAGAGUGAUUCCCUGAGGCUGAAUCGCAGCAUCCCUCAGCUCCUUCAUGACCAGCAGAGGGCACAGACUGCACAGGAAUGCACUGCAGUUUUGCUACCUGAAAUCGCUAACCACCGCGUUCUCAGAAGCCUGAAUAAUUACAAAUUGUGUACGGCUCAGCCUGUGAUACCUGGCUAUAACACAGAAUAAACUGCAGAAAUACUUCUGUAUUAAUUUCUAAGUGUUUAUUGCAUAUAAUUUUUUUUAAAGCUACUGAUGUUAGAGAUGAAACAAAAGUAAUUUUUCACCAUCUAUAAUUGUUGUUUUGCAGAGGUCAUAUGGAUCAGCAGGAUGAGAAUUAAAUUUAUUUUGCCACAGCUUCAGACUGUGAACCAUGUGAACUUGUCCAGACCUUCACAGACUAGAUAACAGGUCUAGCCACUGGCUUAUUGAGUUGAAUGGAAAACUGCCAUCUCCAUCAGCUGCAUUGGAAAGCAAACAGAUCCAUCCUCAGCAAGAAAGGCUUUUGCUGUAAUUGUCACAGAAAGAAGACUCAGAAGGUAAUAAUGAUAUUUUUAUUGUGACAGGUCUAGACAAUAAUUUGAACCACUAACUCAUGGUAAUAGUUUUUCUCUGAAUUUUGUCAUUUCUUAGAUACUGUGUGAAUUCCGCCUAGUACAUGUCUCAUUUCUGUCCAAUAAAUUCAUUCCUAAUUGCUUGAGUUAUCAGGCAAUCGUUACGAACAAAAGGAUUUUUUAAAAUGGUUAUUGAGUUGUUGUCAAAAUGUCUCAAAUUUUCUACACGUGGUCUUGCAGGAAGGUUUGUAGAGAAACAUGUUUUGUGUUAGUAAAGCCUUCACAGAGCUAAAUAAGUCCAUAUAGGGUACUCUGAAUUUAUCUCCUAAGAUGAAUGUUUUUAAUGGGCUUCCAAAGUCAGUAUUUUACCUCCCAGAGUCAAUUUAUCAUUAAAGCCAAAUUCAAAAUAUUUUUUCCAGGUUACCAUUAACUAACUUGGGUUGGUUAAAAUGUAGCACAAAAGUAGUAAUUGAUUUCAGUUGUAUAAUUUCAGGUAGAUGGUGAUAAUUUGUACAAAACGUACCAAAAUCCAAUAUAUAAAAGGUCAUGAAACAAAA